AUCCAUCUGACGAGUCCGAAAUAGAACGAAAUGCGCUUCAAACUGAAU
rfam:Schistosoma mattheei strain Denwood, Zambia genome assembly, scaffold: SMTD_scaffold0022786